ACAGCUGCCUGAGGAAGCUGAUCUCGUCAGUCAGCCCUUCCAGAUGAAACUCCAGCUCUCCCUUGUUCAUGUAAGCUUCAUCCACAGCCUUCUUGACCAGGACAAAUUCAUCCUCCAUCUCUGUAAGCUUAUUGAUCUCAUCCUCGUACUUUUUCUUGAAGUCCUCCAGAGCCCCUGCAUGUUGCCAAGCUCCGCCUCCAGUUUCAGCUUCUCCUGGCCCAGGGUCUCCAGCAGCCACAGAAGGUUGUUGAUGUAGCUCUCCAACACGUUGUCCGAGAACAAGUUGCUCCAAACCGUCUUCUGCUGCUGCAGGAAGCUCCACUUGGUCUCUGGCAUCUUGUUCUGCUGCUCCAGGAACCGUACCUUGUCAACGAAGGAGGCAAACAUGUUGAGGGUCUUGGUCUACUCUUUCUCCUGGGUGUCCGUGGCUUGCAUGUUGGGGUCCAAUUCCAGGUUAAGGGGGCUCAGCAGGUUCUGGUUGACUGUGAUGGCUGUGAUGCCUCCCAUACGCUGGCCCCUCAUAGCCUCCACACAGACCCAUGCUGGUGCCCAGGACAUCUCGGAAGUUGCUGCUGCUCACUUGGGAGAAGCUCAACAAGCCUAACACAGUUAGAGUGGAGAUCCUGCUCCUAAAUCAGACACCUGAUGAUUGUACUGGGACUGCAUUAACACCCACUCACUCCUUAUAAAAUAUUCCUGGCCCCAAUUAACUACUUGGCCUGCCAUCUGACAUGGCCUGGAUGCACUUUCUGUUGCUUCUUGCUGCUGGCCCCUGGAAGCACCUGACCACCUUUCAGAGGCAAGGCCUAGAGACUCCAUCAGUCCCCUGGCUAUGCAGAGGUAAGCUUCUAUUCUGACAGUGCCUGUUUUCACUUGGGUCAUUUAUAAGCAUCGUGGGUGUGUGUGUGGGUGUGUGUGUGUGUAUGUGUGUGUGCAUGUAUGAAAAAGGGGGAAAUUGGACCACAUUGGCCAAGAACAUUUUAAUCCUAUGCUAGGUUUAAAUUUAAUAAAGUAGAAGGUUUUCUAAAAAUAUUACCAUGGCAGAUAAUAUCUAUUUUUAUCUUCUUCCCCCCAGUAACAGAACUGUGAUUUUUUGUGCAG
rnacentral:lncRNA from 1 species